UAUACUUUAGAUGCACGCAAGCGGCUCGCAAUGGGCCUCUCUCUUACGACGCCCGCCGUUCUCCGGCGGCCUACCGAGACGCUGCAAAUUCGGAUCGAGCGACUCUUGCCCCUCUCGGCUCAGCCAGAUAAAUUAGAACCAAUGGCUAUCCUGGCUACAAUGACGAUCUGGAAUGAGCUCCCCCCAGAGAUACGGAGGAUUCCGGAUCUGCGCACCUUCCGCCGCGAGCUGAAGACUCUUUUAUUUCAUCAAGCCGGCCUCGCCUAAAUCUUCUCCCUUUUAAGUGUAAAUUUUAAAUUUUUACUGUAUUUUAAAAUAUGAGUAUUUUAAAUUAUGGGUAUCAAUUCAGCCAAAUUUAUUUAAUUCAUUUUAUUCGAUUUUAAAUUUUGUAUAUGUAUGUGUUUUAUUUCAUGGCUGUUCACCGCCCUGAGUCCUUCGGGAGUAGGGCGGUAUAGAAAUUCAAUAAAUAAAUAAAUAAAUAAAUAAAAUGAGGACCCAGAUUGUGGGGGCAAUAAGCUGACUUUGUAUAAAUAUACAAAAAUAUGAAGGCUAUUGCUUAACACAUUGUAAGCCGCCCUGUCUCCGGAGAAAGGCGGCAUAUAAAUUAAAGCAAAUAAAUAAACAAAUAAAUAAA